GAGCUUCUAGGUGAGUGGGCCUAUCCAAGUUCUGAGGGGGUGACACAGCCCAGGUCCAAGGGGACGGAAGGCCCUGUGCGGGGACCCUGCCAGACCUCGCCUUCCGUAUCUCUCUGUCUGGCUGCUGUCUGUAUCCUAAUAAGCUGUUAAAGGUGUUCCCCUGAGUUCUGGGAGCCACUCUAGCAAAUCAGUGCAACCAGAGCAAGCGGUCAUGGGAACCUCUGAUCUACAGCUGGUGUGUUCAACGCUGGCGACAACCCGGACUCGCCACCGGCAAGGGAACGGGGCUGAGCGCGUCCUGUGGGAUCUGAGGCUCCCUCCAGCAUACGGAAGUUCCAGACCAGGGAUUGAUGUGAGCCAGAGCAGGAGCAAUGCCGGAUCCUUAACCCACUGCCCCCAUCAGGAAUCGAACUGGCCCGGCCACAGAGACAAGCCACCGCGUCACAGCGGGGACGCCACAUCGCGCCGUUCUCCGUCAUCUCCCUCUCCCGCCACCUGAGGAACGCAGGCGUGAGGUUCUACCUGUGCUUCAGAGAGCGUCAUGGCCCCUGAGGCCUUGGUGCCCUGAGAAGAGCCUCCCUCCUCUACCCACCUGGGGAACAUGGAGUCAGCGUUAAAGAUCCGGUUCCGGUGUCCUCACUCCUGCGAAACCCGCCCUGAGGUUGCUCACGCAGUCCGGGGCGGCUGCGUCUGUGCUCCCAGGGCUCCUGGACACUGAGACCCAUGCACCCUCCUAGAAGAGAGUCAAGUACCACCGCCCCGUCAGUUACAUGGUCCUGCGCCUUCUCUGCCUCACUUCUCAUUGUAUUCUUGGCAUUUAACGCAGAGACUGUCACAUGGUUUGCUGAAAGUCACUAAAUGUUUAUCGAAAGGAGCACUGGCUUAGAUGCUGCAUCUGUGAGCCACGCGCCAAAGGAGGUACACGCACUGUGAGAGGGCCUGCAGGUGCAAGAUGACAAAGUCUAACCGCACGCCCCGCACAGCAGCACUCAGGCACCCAGCCCUGCCUGCACACAACCUGUGUUAACCCUUCCACCCCCACAGGUUCUCCUUGUUCGCAGGCAGAUUCCAGAUACUGCAAAGUCAUCUUUAACCUGGUACCUGUCUUUCCCCUCUCAGACCUUAAUUUCCCUCCAGGAGCCCAUGAAGCUAAUACUCAUGUGUCUUUUUAAAACUUGAAUCACUUCCAAAGUUUUCAGGGCUUACUUUUCAAAGGACUUGCUGGUAGAGCUGCAACUCACUGUGCAUUUCUCAUAGUUUGUCUUAAAUUGUAUUGCAACUUCUUGAAUGUGAUAGAUGACCAGAUUUUGUUUCAAAAUUCAUAUAAGAGGUAUCUUAUAGAAUUCAUCAACAAAAAUAACACCAACAUAAAAGCUUUUAUUUAUUCAGCACUUCCUUCAGGGCCAGACACAGAUUCUCCUCUAUGUCCCUCCUGUACUUAACUCAUUUAAGUGCAAAACUAAUUCCAGUGAGAGCAAAUACUUUCUUACCCUCCUUUCGAGAUGUAUUUUGAUUCAGUAAGUGUACCCCCAUCUUGGCUCUGGGAUUUACCAGAAGGAUAAUAUGUAUGUUGUGUACGUUUAUUUUUCGGAUACAUCAC
rnacentral:lncRNA from 1 species